AUUGAACGCUGGCGGCAGGCCUAACACAUGCAAGUCGAACGAGUGGCGGACGGGUGAGUAAUGUCUGGGAAACUGCCUGAUGGAGGGGGAUCACUACUGGAAACGGUCGCUAAUACCGCAUACCAUCGGAUGUGCCCAUAUGGGAUUAGCUAGUAGGGGGGGUAAAGGCUCACCUAGGGGACGAUCCCUAGCUGGUCUGAGAGGAUGACCAGCAACAUUGGAACUGAGACAGGGUCCAGACUCCUAGGGGAGGAAGCAGUGGGAAAUAUUGCAAAAUGGGCGCAAGCCUGAUGCAGCCAGGCCGGGGGGAGGAAGAAGGCCUUCGGGUUGUAAAGUACGUUCAGCGGGGAGGCGUUACCCGCAGAAGAAGCACCGGCUAACUACGUGCCAGCAGCCGCGGUAAUUC
rnacentral:rRNA from 1 species